GUUCCUUCUCUCGUGAAUUUAUCGGUUAAAGCAAAUUCUGAUAUGUGUAAAGUUUAGUAAUGUGUCCGGUUUGUUCUCCUUUUUUUGGUGUCUCAUGAAGUCAAAAUCAAUCAAUCAAUCAAUCAGUGGUGGUUGCAUGUCGUCUCUCUCCGUUUAUAAAUUCCUAAUUAGUGUCUGUGGGAUCGGAUCAAGCUUCACACCCAAACCACUUUUAGAAGAAGAACCCUUUCUUUCGUGAGACCUCUCUUCUGCCAUUGAAAUUGCUCUUAAAGCUUCACUAGUCGCCGGAUUAUUCCCUCCUCUCCCUUCUAGUCGCCCUUGUAGCCUCAAGGUACUUCCCCUGUCCAACCUCUCCGUGAUCAUUCAAUAGCCUCCAAAACGUUAUCGGAGUCAAGAUUAAGCUCAAUGUUAAAGAGCUGGCGAUUCAGUUUGGCUGCGUUAGGAUCAUCAAAUCUAUGCAAAACAUGUUAUCUUUAGAGGUUUCUUGCAUCGCUACCUGUGUUUACGCCUGCUGCUUUCUAUUUGUGUGCUAAAAAGCAGAAGCUUAAGGUAGAUAAGCUUAGGUUGGUUGAGGUUUGUGGAACAUCAGAAUCUGAAUUCUCUUGUGUCUUCACCUCCAUGAUAGAUCUUUGCUAUGACUGUGUUGGGGUCUCUAAGGAGAAGAAAGAUGCAAAAGAAGUUAAAGGAAACCGGGAGUUGCUUGAUGUGUUACCUGGAAAGAUCUUUGAGGAUGUGCAAUCUUUUUUAUCUAUAUCACAUAUGGUUCUUACCCAUUGAGAGGGAAGUAUUGUCAUGAGAUGGCUUUGAGGAUCCUCCUUGCCAGCAUUGAGGUUUGUUUAUCUUAACCAUUUCCUCUUUUCGAUAUAACAUUCUUGUGUCUUGUGCUGAUAAACGAUGAGAACACGAUAUGUUGAUUGUGUAAUGUUUUUAUGUCUUUAUGUGUCACGGGUGGAGCAUUGCGAGUUGUUCUGUUGUUUUUUUUUUUUUUUUUGUGUCAUGGAAUAGUUUUGUUGUUUUUUUGUGUCAUUGUCUUUAAAAUACUAUCUUGUACUGAACAACUCUUGUAAACGAUUUGUGCGAUCUUCUCCUUUGUGCGAUC